AUUGGUGCAUCAUGUUUGGGGGACAUAGUCAUAGCAUGUUGGUUUAAAAAGUACUGACAUAUACAUAUUUACUUUAGUUAAUGUGUAAUAAUGACCAGACACUUGUAUCCUUACGCGUCAUUUCACCUUUCUUGGCAUACUUGAACGUUGGGCCAGUAAUCGAAAGGUCCCAAGUUCGAAUCCCACGAGCAGACAAUGUAAGAUGGGGACAUUUCCAUAUCCGUCAUUAAGUGUAUGGCUACAAUCAUAUUAGGACAAGGCCUUUUGCCAAUUAGGCUACUUUAGCCACCGCCUACAUGUCAUGUAAUCAUGAUAGAUGUCUGCUGCCUUCGAGUUGCGUGCGCCUUAACCUCCAGCUCUGACAGGCCACCAUGCCCACAUGAACGCUGGUGGGCACUAGAUCAAAUUCGAUUGAACAUGAUAAUACAUCAUAGGUUUUGAACAGCGCCACAGAAGGGUGGAGAAUAGAGCCAGAGUAUUGAUUUGAGUAAGGACCUGAGCCCUAGGACCAUGCCUCAGGACUACCUGGCAUGAUGACUCCUUGCUGUCCCCAGUCCACCUGGCCGUGCUGCUGCUCCAGUUUCAACUGUUCUGCCUGCGGCUAUGGAACCCUGACCUGUUCACCGGGCGUGCUACAUGUCCCAGACCUGCUGUUUUCAACUCUCUAGAGACAGCAGGAGCGGUAGAGAUACUCUUAAUGAUCGGCUAUGAAAAGCUAACUGACAUUUACUCCUGAGGUGCUGACUUGUUGCACCCUCGACAACAACUGUGAUUAUUAUUAUUUGACCAUGCUGAUCAUUUAUGAACAUUUGAACAUCUUGGCCAUGUUCUGUUAUAAUCUCCACCCAGCACAGCCAGAAGAAGACUGGCCACCCCUCAUAGCCUGGUUUCUCUCUAGGUUUCUUCCUCGGUUUUGGCCUUUCUAUGGAGUUUUUCCUAGCCACCGUGCUUCUACACCUGCAUUGCUUGCUGUUUGGGGUUUUAGGCUGGGUUUCUGUACAGCACUUUGAGAUAUCAGCUGAUGUAAUAAGGGCUAUAUAAAUCAAUUUGAUUUGAUAGGUUAAUUCCAAUCAGAAGCUUCUAAAGCCAUGACAUCAUUUUCUGGAAUUUUCCAUGCUGUUUAUACACAAAGUUGACUUUGCCUAUGUAAACUUUCGACCCACUGUAAUUGUGAUACAACUUGUCAAAACUAUAGUUUGUUAACAAGAAAUUUGUGGAGUGGUUAAAAAACAAGUUUUAAUGACUCCAACCUAAGUGUAUGUAAACUUCCUAUUUCAACUGUAAGUAUUCAGAGAGACUUGAAAUGUAGCUCAGGUGCAUUGGACUCCACCUGUGGUGAAUUCACUCUACCAAUCAGGCCUUUUUGGUAGAGUAGCCAGACAGAAGCCACUUCUCAGGUUAGCCCGCUUUUAGUUUGCCAAAAGGCACCUAAAGAUUCUCAGACCAUGAAAAACAAGAUUCUCUGGUCUGAUGAAACCAAGAUUGAACUAUUCGGCCUGAAUGCCAAGUGUCACAUCUGGAGGAAAACUGGACAGGAUUGAGGCAAAGAUGAUCUGAGUAAAGUACAGAGAAAUCAUUGAUGAAAACCUGCUCCAGAGCGCUUAGGACCUCAAGACUGGGAUCAACGCUUCACCUUCCAGCAGGACAACGGCCCUAAGCACACAGCCAAGACAAUGCAGGAGUGACUUUGGGACAAGUCUCUGAAUGUCUUUGAGUGGCCCAGCCAUUGCCCGGAAUUGAUCUCUAUUGAAUAUCUCUGGAGAGACCUGAAAAUAGCUGUGCAGCAAUGCUCCCCAUCCAACCUGACAGAGCUUGUGAUGAUCUGCAAAGAAGAAUGGGAGAAACUCCCCAAAUACAGGUGUGCCACGCUUGUACUGUAGCGUCAUACCCAAGAAGUAUGGGGUAUGGUGUGUAGAUUGAUGAGGGGGGAAAAAAACAAUUGAAUCAAUUUUAGAAUAAGGCUGUAACGUAACAAAAUGUGGGAAAAGUCCAGGGGGCUGAAUACUUCCCGAAGGCACUGUAUUAGUGUGUUAGUGUGGGUUUUCAGUGAAUGUGUUUUAAGUCACAAGGCUCUUCUGCAUUUCCUGCAGUGCAAGAAAUAGCUUUUGGCUAUUUCAAAGCGGAAUAUAAGAAAUCCAGAUAUCAAUGUUUUUGUGUGACGAGUCUGAGUUUCGACAGUGAAGUCAAGUACACGCUCAGACUGGGUGGGUCGUUAACUGACUAAUGACAAUGUUGUGUAAGAGUUGCAUGCUGAUUUUGCUCCUCUGUUGGCGUUAUUGAGAGCUGAUCGACUGACUUACUGACCGCCGUUAAGGAGAAAUAUAGGUCAAUUUGGCCAUCUUAAGUUUGAUAUAGAAAGACGGUAAGGAAAGAGAGAAGAGAGACAAACUAUUGUUGUGCUGAAGGUGAAACAAGUCCUGGGUGUUACUGUAAAGCUUCUGUGUCUCUGUACUGCUUAAAAUCACUGAAUGAUUAAACAGGUGGCCAUUGA